GGCUCCGUGGCUUAAUGGUUACGGCUUCUGCCUCACAAGCAGAGGGUUCAGGGAUCAAAUCCCGGUCGGUACCU
rnacentral:tRNA from 1 species